GUAAGGAAUAUUGGUCAAUGGACGGAAGUCUGAACCAGCCAUGCCGCGUGCAGGAAGACGGCCCUACGGGUUGUAAACUGCUUUUGCAGGGGAAUAAACCCCGGUUCGUGACCCGGGUUGAAUGUACCUUGAGAAUAAGGAUCGGCUAACUCCGUGCCAGCAGCCGCGGUAAUACGGAGGAUCCAAGCGUUAUCCGGAUUUAUUGGGUUUAAAGGGUGCGUAGGCGGCUUUUUAAGUCAGGGGGAAAAGACGGUAGCUCAACUAUCGCAGUGCCCUUGAUACUGAAGAGCUUGAAUGUACGUGAGGUAGGCGGAAUGUGACAAGUAGCGGUGAAAUGCAUAGAUAUGUCACAGAACACCAAUUGCGAAGGCAGCUUACUAAAGUAUGAUUGACGCUGAGGCACGAAAGCGUGGGGAUCAAAC
rnacentral:rRNA from 1 species